UACGAAGGGGGCUAGCGUUGCUCGGAAUCACUGGGCGUAAAGGGUGCGUAGGCGGGUCUUUUAAGUCAGGGGUGAAAUCCUGGAGCUCAACUCCAGAACUGCCUUUGAUACUGAAGAUCUUGAGUUCGGGAGAGGUGAGUGGAACUGCGAGUGUAGAGGUGAAAUUCGUAGAUAUUCGCAAGAACACCAGUGGCGAAGGCGGACUCGACUGGCCCGGUAGUCGACGCU
rnacentral:rRNA from 1 species